GCCAUAAUGGCUUAGCUGGUUAAAGCACCAAUCUUCUUUGAUGAGGAGGUUGAGGGUUCAAACCCUGCUGUUUACA